rnacentral:rRNA from 1 species
UCAAGCUAGAAAGAGCGCAAGGGGAAUGCCUUGGCAUCAGGAGCCGAUGAAGGACGCGACAAGCUGCGAUAAGCUUCGGGUAGCUGCAAAUAAGCAAUGAUCCGGAGAUUUCCGAAUGGGGCAACCCGGCACGGCAAUACCGUGUCAGCGUGCACUGAAUCAAAUAGGUGUACGUGGGGAACCGCCUGAACUGAAACAUCUAAGUAGGGCGAGGAAAAGACAUCAACAGAGAUUCCGCAAGUAGUGGCGAGCGAACGCGGAGGAGGCCAAACCAGAGGUCAUUGAUUUCUGGGGUAAGGACUUGCAUCAUGAUCAGAGGUAUCUAGUCGAAUGGCGUGGGAAAGCCAACCACAGAGGGUGAGAGUCCCGUAGACGAAAGAGAAGACUGACAGCGAGUAUCCAGAGUACCGCCGGACACGUGAAACCCGGUGGGAACAUGGGAGGACCACCUUCCAAGCCUAAAUACUACCUGAUGACCGAUAGAGAAGCAGUACCGUGAGGGAAAGGUGAAAAGAACCCCGGGAGGGGAGUGAAAUAGUACCUGAAACCUUGUGCUUACAAGCAGUCAGAGCACGUUAAAGUGUGAUGGCGUACCUUUUGUAGAAUGGUCCGGCGAGUUAUAGUCACUGGCGAGGUUAAGCAAUUCAGUUGUGGAGCCGAAGGGAAACCGAGUCUUAAUAGGGCGUCGAGUCAGUGGCCAUAGACCUGAAACCGGGUGACCUAUCCAUGAGCAGGUUGAAGUUGGUGUAAAAGCCAAUGGAGGACCGAACCCACGUUCGUUGCAAUGACCGGGGAUGACUUGUGGAUAGCGGAGAAAUUCCAAUCGAACUCGGAGAUAGCUGGUUCUCCCCGAAAUAGCUUUAGGGCUAGCGUUGUGUUAGUUUACCGGAGGUAGAGCACUGAAUUGGCUAAGGGGCGAUGAGCUUACUGAACCUUAUCAAACUUCGAAUGCCGGAUAAAUGGUGCACAGCAGUCAGACAGUGUGAGAUAAGUUUCAUUGUCAAGAGGGAAACAGCCCAGACCCACAGCUAAGGUCCCAAAUGAACGCUAAGUGGAAAACGAUGUGGGGUUGCAAAAACAACCAGGAUGUUGGCUUAGAGGCAGCCACUCAUUAAAAGAGUGCGUAAUAGCUCACUGGUCGAGUGACCCUGCGCGGAAAAUAUAACGGGGCUAAGCGUCCAACCGAAGCUUGGGAUGUCUAAGGACAUGGUAGGGGAGCGUCGUGUAUAGGGAGAAGCAUGAGCGAGAGCACAUGUGGACAGUACACGAGUGAGAAUGCCGGAAUGAGUAGCGAGAAUUAUGUGGGAAUCAUAAUGGCCGAAAAUCUAAGGUUUCUUGGGGAAGGUUCGUCCGCCCAAGGUAAGCCGGGAGCUAAGGCGAGGCCGAAAGGCGUAGUCGAUGCACAUACGGUUGAAAUUCCGUAGCCGCCGAAAUUGUUAAGCACAGGGACACAUAGAGAUAUCCGAACCCGGGCGUUGGUUGACCCGGGCGCAAGGGACCGAACAUCAGUAGGGAAGUCGGAGAUGCUCUGUGGCGAGAAAAGCUGUGUGUAUUGAUUAGGCGCCCGUACCGCAAACCGACACAGGUAGAUGAGGAGAGAAUCCUAAGGCCAACGGGAGAAGGGUUGUUAAGGAACUCGGCAAAUUGACCCCGUAACUUCGGGAUAAGGGGAGCCUCCUACGGGAGGCCGCAGUGAAUAGGCCCAAGCAACUGUUUACCAAAAACACAGGUCUCUGCUAAAUCGAAAGAUGACGUAUAGGGGCUGACGCCUGCCCGGUGCCGGAAGGUUAAGAGGAGAGCUUAGCGCAAGCGAAGGUUCGAAUUGAAGCCCCGGUAAACGGCGGCCGUAACUAUAACGGUCCUAAGGUAGCGAAAUUCCUUGUCAGGUAAGUUCUGACCCGCACGAAUGGCGUAAUGAUUUGGGCACUGUCUCAACAGCCCGCCCGGCGAAA